GAUCGUGUUCUCUUGUUCUCCUCUGCUGCUCCUCACCAAUCACUGAUCGUCUUCUACUGUUCUGCUCGUCGAACGUCGUCGUCGUCACCAGUCAUCGCCGUCAGUCUUCGUCGUGUAUAAGGUUUCUCCAGUCAUCGUCGUCACCAUCAGUCUUCGUCUGUGUAUAAGGUAUCUCUCUCUCUCUCUCUCUCUCGUCAGUCAUACAGUAUGACUCAUACUCAUAUUUAUUUUAGGUUUUUAAAGUGUUAUUUUUUACUGUGCUGUAAAAAAUAGACCCAUUUUGCUCUUAUUGAUGGCUGGUAGAGGCUGAAAUCUGGUAUGUAGUCUAAUUUUAAAGUUUUUUUUUCCCAUAACAGUCUGAUGGAAUCUGUUGCUAGUUCUGUUGUUGGUAGUUCUGUUUCUAAUGAAGGGGAAUCGAGGGAUCAAAAUACAAACAAUCCUCUUUGUAGUUAUGUUACAAAAUUUGAGAAGAGUGAGGUGGGGGGG
rnacentral:lncRNA from 1 species